UACGUAGGGGGCAAGCGUUGUCCGGAUUUAUUGGGCGUAAAGAGCGUGUAGGCGGCCAGGUAGGUCCGUUGUGAAAACUCGAGGCUCAACCUCGAGACGCCGAUGGAAACCAUCUGGCUAGAGUCCGGAAGAGGAGAGUGGAAUUCCUGGUGUAGCGGUGAAAUGCGCAGAUAUCAGGAAGAACACCCGUGGCUAAGGCGGCUCUCUAGUACGGUACUGACGCUGAGGCGCGAAAGCUAGGGGAGCAAACAGG
rnacentral:rRNA from 1 species